rnacentral:misc_RNA from 1 species
AGAGAGAGAGAAGAGAAAUGGAGAAGGAAAGAGAAAAACAGGUUUACUUGGCUAGGCUGGCUGAGCAAGCUGAGAGAUAUGAUGAAAUGGUUGAAGCAAUGAAGGCGAUUGCUAAGAUGGAUGUCGAACUGACUGUUGAAGAGAGGAAUUUGGUGUCGGUUGGGUAUAAGAAUGUAAUCGGAGCAAGAAGGGCUUCAUGGCGGAUCUUGUCUUCGAUUGAACAGAAGGAGGAGAGUAAGGGUCAUGAGCAGAAUGUUAAGAGAAUAAAGACUUACAGACAGAGAGUUGAAGACGAGCUUACAAAAAUAUGCAGCGACAUUUUGUCAGUGAUCGAUGAGCACCUCGUUCCUUCGUCCACUACUGGAGAAUCUACUGUCUUCUACUACAAGAUGAAGGGAGAUUACUAUCGCUAUUUAGCAGAGUUCAAAGCAGGGGAUGAUCGUAAAGAGGCGUCUGAACAGUCUCUUAAAGCUUAUGAGGCUGCUACUGCCACUGCUAGUUCAGAUCUUGCUCCGACUCAUCCAAUCAGACUUGGACUCGCAUUGAAUUUCUCAGUUUUCUACUAUGAGAUUCUGAAUUCACCCGAGAGGGCAUGCCACUUGGCUAAGCAGGCAUUUGAUGAAGCUAUUGCCGAACUUGAUAGCCUCAGUGAAGAAUCCUACAAGGACAGCACCCUUAUCAUGCAGCUUCUAAGGGAUAAUCUCACUUUGUGGACAUCAGAUCUUGAAGAGGGAGGUGAGCAUUCUAAGGGUGAUGAGCGCCAGGGAGAGAACUAGUUGAAGUUCAAGAGGUGUCGGUGAAUCAUUGUGAUGCUGGCUCCUCAAGAGACAUGUUAGCUUGUGGAAAGUCUUUGUUUUCAUAUAAUGUUCAGGGAUUCAUGCCUAUUGGCUUUGUACUUUCUUCCUCCAUAUACAUAAACAUUCCCAGAGUACUUCUCAUUUUCAGUAAAAAAAAAAAUUGCUGCUAUUGUUGCAUCAUGUGACUGACUGUUCUAUUCGAAAUAUAGCUAGUUGGGUCUAAACAGUUGCAG